rnacentral:lncRNA from 1 species
GGGGUGACUGUCAGUUGGUCAGGUGGUCAGUUGUUGACAGUUAGGUGCUGGCAAUUUGUUGGGUAGGUGGUUGGCGUUUAGUUGCUGGAAUAUAAAAGAUGAGUGUGCACAAAGACACUUGUGCGUGAAGGAGAUUUAAGUGGAAAAGUCAAUGCACAGAGACAGUCCCACUCUCUCGGCAUUGGAAGCCUGGGUCCAGUGGCCCAAAAAGUCGUUACACCUGGAGACUUCCUCAGCUGCAUUGGAUGGUCAUGUUGUCCUUUAUGCUCCAACACACCCUAAGCACUCCACAGUGCCUUGUUGCAUCGCCAUCUCAGCCGUUGAACCUUCUUGUUGGUUUCUUCUGCCUGUUCCGCGGAAGCAGUCUUCACAUGCUGGAUUUCUCCAUCUGUGCUUCAUGUCUUUUCACCCUAGAAAGAUGUCUCUAAUCCUUAGUGAAGUGAUCUCACUGCCAGAAAUUUCAUUGCAGAAAGUUUUCAAGACACCAAGCUCACUCUUCUCUGGUUCUGCACCUAACUUGGGAAUUUUCCACCUCACUUUAGAGUUUCUUUUAAUGUAACAUCUUCCCUCCUUAUGAUGGAAGCUCCUUGAAGGUACAAACUUCUUUUUAUGCAUUGGUAUUCUCAUUGCUUAGCACAAACCUUGGAAUAUUAGAAAAAAUAAAUUCUCUAUCUAUAAAUUGAUUGAUAAAUCU